AGCCAUUUUAGGCAUCCUUAUUUUUGUGUUGGCAUUACUUUCUUUUGUCACUAGGUGGCGGGCUUUUUGAUUGAGCAGUGCAGGGUUGAAGGCAUAAAUAGAAGCACAGGUGAGCUGAUAAGGGAGGACUCAGGUGUGGGAGCACAAACCGUUCUUACCACCACAACAGCAGACAACAACAGCAGACAACAACAGGCAGGAAAGACAGGAGAACAUAUGGCACCAUGUCACUACAAUAAUCCAUGAGAUGGUCAGAGCUGCUCAGAAGAUCGUGUGGAGCAGCCUCCUGCACCAUCACCACACACAUUCUUGUCAGCAGAUGCAGGAAGAAGGUUUCCAACAACACUGCACAACCUCUCUUUGAUCCUGUCCACAUGGAACACCACCAGACUGAGGACCAACUUCUUUCAGAUAGGAGGAGUUUCCAGGAGCCUUGUGAUGAGGUGGCGACGUGUCCAGGGUGUACACCGUCCUCCGCCCGAUUGUAGCUGAUAUAGGUACCAGCGCCCCCACAACCACAAAAGGAAUAAGCGGUAGAAAAUUAAUGGAUGGAGUUUCCAGGAUGGGGGCAGGGGAGGCCGUUGUUUUCUGAGCCGCAUGCGACUGAGAUGAAUCAUCAAACAGCUUGGUAUUUCUCAGUAUUCUGUACAUCCAUGCAUACAUUAACAUGUCACAGAAUAGAAUGUAGAGGAUGAGACUGGAUCUCAUGAAUUUGUGCCUUGUAUGCUUGCUAAUCCCAUUUGGUUAAAAACAACACAUUGUUCUCUAUCUCUUAAGACUUGAAAAACGUAUAAAUAUUG